rnacentral:rRNA from 1 species
AUUGAACGCUGGCGGCAGGCCUAACACAUGCAAGUCGAGCGGAUGAAGGGAGCUUGCUCCUGGAUUCAGCGGUGGACGGGUGAGUAAUGCCUAGGAAUCUGCCUGGUAGUGGGGGAUAACGUCCGGAAACGGGCGCUAAUACCGCAUACGUCCUGAGGGAGAAAGUGGGGGAUCUUCGGACCUCACGCUAUCAGAUGAGCCUAGGUCGGAUUAGCUAGUUGGUGGGGUAAAGGCCUACCAAGGCGACGAUCCGUAACUGGUCUGAGAGGAUGAUCAGUCACACUGGAACUGAGACACGGUCCAGACUCCUACGGGAGGCAGCAGUGGGGAAUAUUGGACAAUGGGCGAAAGCCUGAUCCAGCCAUGCCGCGUGUGUGAAGAAGGUCUUCGGAUUGUAAAGCACUUUAAGUUGGGAGGAAGGGCAGUAAGUUAAUACCUUGCUGUUCUGACGUUACCAACAGAAUAAGCACCGGCUAACUUCGUG